rnacentral:lncRNA from 1 species
AGGUCAUCAACUCAAGGUCAUCCACAGCUCAGGGUGUUCUCUCCGCAUUCCAAUGCUUCUCCACCUCAUCCUCCAAUGCCUUCCUCUCCAUCCCAAAGAGAUGAGAGUGAAACAAUCACAAACCUUCCUAUCUCUCAUCAAAAUACUUUAGGGGAGGGAUCUCUUCAUUCAAACAUGCAGCCACCAACUUCUUCUCAACCCCGCCAGGUUUCUCCUUCAAACAGCAGGUCUCCUAAUCAGCAUACCUCUAGUGAUCAAGAUAGAGCUGGACCAUCAGAGCUCCAAUCAUUUUCAGAAUCUCUAAAGUCUCGACUAAAUGCUGUCUCAAUGAGGUAUCCCAUCUCUAUCCAGCUGCCUUUGGUCUGUAUAUGUUUUUGUAACAAUCCGAAGUGGUUCCUUAUGAACAAUGUAGAUACAAAGAAUCAAUAUCAAAGAACACAAGGAGCUGGAAAGAUAGAUUCUUUUCACGCAGCACUUCCAUUGCAGAUCUUGGCUCUGAGGUUAAAAGAGAGGUCAGUGCCGGAAUAGCCACUGUGUCCCGCAUGAUGGAACGUUUAGAAACGAGAGAAGACAGUACUAGACCAGGGACUGAACCUGUAUCAGAAAACAACACUAAUGCUGAAUCAAACAAUAACUCUUCUGCGAUUCUGAUCCUUCAACUGUAUGUCGUCUCAAUAUUAUAAUUUGUUUGUUUUUGAGUGACAUUGAUUGAUUACCAGUUUUUUUAUCUUUAAUCUGUCGCAGUUGACUAGUUGCAAGCAUGAGUUUCAUCUUCAAUGCAUCCUUGAGUGGUAAGAGAAAAGAUAAACUCUCAUGCCUUUUGUAUCCUUGUUUCUUGUUUGUGUGAGAGCUGAUUAGAUCAUGUGGCAUUUGUGUUUCAGGUGUCAAAGGAGUUCACAGUGCCCAAUGUGUUGGCAAUCAAUUAGUCUCAAAGAUCCCACUAGGUUCCUUCUCUCUCCUUGUAAUACAUUUUAGUUCUUUUUGUUCUGCUGGAUGUUUGAGAUAUGUGUGUGUGUUUCCCUGUUUCACCAGUCAGGAGUUGCUUGAGGCUGUUGUACAGGAGAGGAGUUUCCGCUUCAAUCCACCUAGAAACGCCACCAUAUUUCGUCAUCCAACUCUUGGUGAUUUUGAGUUACAACAUGUAUGUGUCUCUUUUAUCAUAAACAUUUUAGGUUUGGGCACAAAUUUUUUUAAAAAAACGUUUGGUUUUGUAUAUUUUUAAACAAAAACAUCAUUAACUAUCAGCUUAACCACUUUUCAACCAACAAAAAAAACGACAGAAUAUAAAAGUCAUAAAACAUAAAAAUCCAAUAAAUUAUACAUUGAAAAUUGAAAACUGAAAACCUCAUGUAAUUUAAAACAAAUUUUGUUUUUCUAAAAUGUCAUUUUUUGAAAAAAGGAGGGAGUAUCUUACAUCUCUUUUGCUAGUGGAUUAACAAGAGUGAAUAUUAUUUUAAGUUUGAUUACUUCUCUUUUGCUAGUGGGUUAACUAAAGAGAGAGCUCCAUUUUGUUACAUUUUUCUUGAAAUGCAGCUCCCAGUAGGGGUGGAUAAUGCAGAGAUUGAAGAACGUAUCAUUCAGCACUUGGCUGCUGCUGCUGCUAUGGGCCGAGCAAGACAUGGUGCAAGAAGAGAAGGUCACAGAAGCAGGUCAUCAACUCAAGGUCAUCCACAGCUCAGGGUGUUCUCUCCGCAUUCCAAUGCUUCUCCACCUCAUCCUCCAAUGCCUUCCUCUCCAUCCCAAAGAGAUGAGAGUGAAACAAUCACAAACCUUCCUAUCUCUCAUCAAAAUACUUUAGGGGAGGGAUCUCUUCAUUCAAACAUGCAGCCACCAACUUCUUCUCAACCCCGCCAGGUUUCUCCUUCAAACAGCAGGUCUCCUAAUCAGCAUACCUCUAGUGAUCAAGAUAGAGCUGGACCAUCAGAGCUCCAAUCAUUUUCAGAAUCUCUAAAGUCUCGACUAAAUGCUGUCUCAAUGAGGUAUCCCAUCUCUAUCCAGCUGCCUUUGGUCUGUAUAUGUUUUUGUAACAAUCCGAAGUGGUUCCUUAUGAACAAUGUAGAUACAAAGAAUCAAUAUCAAAGAACACAAGGAGCUGGAAAGAUAGAUUCUUUUCACGCAGCACUUCCAUUGCAGAUCUUGGCUCUGAGGUUAAAAGAGAGGUCAGUGCCGGAAUAGCCACUGUGUCCCGCAUGAUGGAACGUUUAGAAACGAGAGAAGACAGUACUAGACCAGGGACUGAACCUGUAUCAGAAAACAACACUAAUGCUGAAUCAAACAAUGAGCAUAGUAGAAGAUCAGAAGCGAGUGAUGAACAUUCUUUGAGUGAAAGAGGUGUUAAAGGAACAUGUGCGGCUGCAUCUGGUUCUAGCUAAUAAAACUAGUGCCAGCAUCUUGUUGGCAAUGGUAUACUGAUUCAGCUUUGGCUUAUCAUGUGGUUGAUCCUCAACAACUAAGAUCUUGUAUUGUUUGUUGUUUCUUUUUCUUUCUUGUCAGAGACGAGAAGAUGUUUUUAUUGUGAAGUUCUGCUAUAUAUAUUGAUAUACUGAGUUGGAAGUUCAGAAUCAGAGGUGUGGGAGCAUUAGGAAGAGAUUUUUCCUAAAAGAAUAAUAAAAAGAUUAUGUGUUGUGUUAUGUCAUAAAAAAAAAACACGCCCGUAUGUUGUUAUGAUAGUUACUUAUGUAUCUUCAGAAGCUUUAGCCGAUGCCCCAAUUUAUUGUAUCUAAUGUUGCUUUUGAUUAGUAGUGCAUUACUUAGAAAGAGAGUUUCAAUCAAAAUCAGAGAACAUAGCUGGAUUUACAAACGAAAUGAGCUUUUAGUUUACAUUCUGUUAAGCACUCAUUUUGAAGGUUUUGUCUUCUUGUACUAGUUUUUUUUUUUGUUUUUGUUGCAAUUCAGUUAAAAGAGCAGAGCCUUGUGCGUUCGAUACAAAACUAGAAUCCGCCCUAAAACACCAGUGACAGCAUAAACUUCAUCUGUCAAUCCAGGAAGAAAAACAAAACAAAGCGAAAAUGGCUUUAUAUCCAAACAUGAAAACAUUCCAAGAAGAGACGUUUCUUGAUAAAAUUGCCUGAAAACCGAAAGUAUGAUGAGUAAGAUGUCGCCUGAAGAGCGUGAGAGGAUGUUUAACAUGGCAUCGUCUUUGAAAGCAAAUGCUCCAGUUUCAACAUCAUACAGAGAUGCCGAAACAGCUGAGCGACAGGAAGCGAGUGGUGAGUCUAGUUCUUCGGUAAGAGGUUUUGAACCAAGCAUGCCUUCUGCUCCGCCUGUUGACUUGCAGGAGCAGAUGAGAAACCAAAUGAAAGAUCCAGCGAUGCGACAGGUUUUAUGUUAUACAUUUUUUUUUUACAUAUUCAGGACUCAUAAAAUGUGAUUGUAGAUGUUAAUAUAUUGUAUUUUCUCUGUUUUUUUUUUGUAGAUGUUCAUGUCUAUGAUUAAAAACAUGAACCCGGAGAUGAUGGCUAGCAUGAGCGAACAGUUCGGAAUGAAGCUGUCUCGAGAAGAUGCGGCAAAAGCUCAAGAAGCCAUGGCUUCUCUUUCUCCUGAAGCUUUGGAGAAAAUGGUACACACUCGGUUUAUGAAAAUAUUGCAGAACUGACUGUAUUGGUUAUUUCAUUUGUAACUGUUGUGUGCAGAUGCGAUGGGCGGACCGGGCGCAAACCGGGAUAGAGAAAGCGAAGAGAGCAAAGAAGUGGUUGCUAGGCAAAGGCGGGUUGAUCUUUGCAAUAUGUAUGCUCGUUUUAGCAAUGAUCCUUCAUCGUCUAGGCUAUAUUGGAAGGUAAAGAAAACGAGGAAGGUCUCUUAAGACUUAUUAUGCCAGAGAACAGUCUUUGGUUUGGGCUCGUGGUUUUGUAAAACUGUAACAUCGACUCACUCACCGACAGUUUUUCUUCUUCUUCUUCUUUCUCUAGGCUUUUUAACCUCUUUUGUCUAGUCUUCCUUCCACCUUCUGUAGUGUUUUAAAAGCUUUUAAUGUUAUUUUUUCUUUUAGAUAUUCGUUAUAUUUUAUAAAGCAUACUAUUAUUCUCCUCGUCGUACCUUUCUCGAGUAAGAGAGUAAAAUUUUUCGAGAUUCACAAAAUCAGCACUAGUGCUGCUUGUUUAAGUAUCAUCCUGGAAAGACGAGAACCAGAAACAGCAUUUCAUAAGAGAAGAAGAAUAAAAUAUCAACUAGCAAGCAAAAUCAACACUAAUGCUACUUGCAUUUUAGAAGUUUUUUUAGAAGUUUUUAAUACACUUUUGUCUAGAUAUCUUUCCAUCUUUGUUUAUUAUUGUUAAUAUUUAGAGAGAAAACAAUAUUUCUUUUCAGAUAUUUGUUACUUUUUGUAUAAACAUAAUGAUUCUUUGCUGGGACCUUCUCGACCAAGAGUGAAAAACAAAAUGUCCAGAUGAAGUGUAAACUAAAAUUACAUUUCAAAAAUAGAGGACAGAAAAAAAUCUAAGAAGGAAAAAGUACAAACACGUGUCAUAAUCUGGGACCCACUUGUUGUCUUUUCGUUUAAUGGCUUGAAUUAAAUUUACACAGAAAAAUAAAAAAGAAGGUGUCGAGAGUCAAAAGAGAACGCGCAAAGAGAAGAGAAGAGAAGAGAAGAAACGAAAGAGUCUUUUAUCUUUCCAUAUAUCUAUCUCCCUCUCCUUUAUUUCUUCUCAUCCAUUAUCAUCGGGGUGAAUCUAGGGUUUUGUUUUCUCUCGCGACACCGUGUUCCUCCUUUAUAAUCUCUCUCUCUCUCUCUCUCUUUCAUCUCCUUAGCUCAUCAUCACGACUUCAAUGGAGGUUAGGCUUUAAUCUUUGUUUUUUUCCCCUGUUGAAUUUCAUUUAUGCCAUUGAUUUGAGACAACGAAUAUUCUGCUUGUUAUUAUAUAUACAUGGUUUUUUGUUGAAUUGUACUCAAUUGCAUUGCUGAAAAGUCUUGUUGGUGUUGAAAAUUCAAUUAUAGGGAGCGGGAGGCAAGACGACGUCGUCUGACGACGGGCAUUUGACGUCAGCAGCAGCUUUUGUUCAAGGGGGAAUCCAAGAUCCUUGUGAUGAUGCCUGUAGCAUUUGUCUUGAACUCUUCUGCGAUUCUGAUCCUUCAACUGUAUGUCGUCUCAAUAUUAUAAUUUGUUUGUUUUUGAGUGACAUUGAUUGAUUACCAGUUUUUUUAUCUUUAAUCUGUCGCAGUUGACUAGUUGCAAGCAUGAGUUUCAUCUUCAAUGCAUCCUUGAGUGGUAAGAGAAAAGAUAAACUCUCAUGCCUUUUGUAUCCUUGUUUCUUGUUUGUGUGAGAGCUGAUUAGAUCAUGUGGCAUUUGUGUUUCAGGUGUCAAAGGAGUUCACAGUGCCCAAUGUGUUGGCAAUCAAUUAGUCUCAAAGAUCCCACUAGGUUCCUUCUCUCUCCUUGUAAUACAUUUUAGUUCUUUUUGUUCUGCUGGAUGUUUGAGAUAUGUGUGUGUGUUUCCCUGUUUCACCAGUCAGGAGUUGCUUGAGGCUGUUGUACAGGAGAGGAGUUUCCGCUUCAAUCCACCUAGAAACGCCACCAUAUUUCGUCAUCCAACUCUUGGUGAUUUUGAGUUACAACAUGUAUGUGUCUCUUUUAUCAUAAACAUUUUAGGUUUGGGCACAAAUUUUUUUAAAAAAACGUUUGGUUUUGUAUAUUUUUAAACAAAAACAUCAUUAACUAUCAGCUUAACCACUUUUCAACCAACAAAAAAAACGACAGAAUAUAAAAGUCAUAAAACAUAAAAAUCCAAUAAAUUAUACAUUGAAAAUUGAAAACUGAAAACCUCAUGUAAUUUAAAACAAAUUUUGUUUUUCUAAAAUGUCAUUUUUUGAAAAAAGGAGGGAGUAUCUUACAUCUCUUUUGCUAGUGGAUUAACAAGAGUGAAUAUUAUUUUAAGUUUGAUUACUUCUCUUUUGCUAGUGGGUUAACUAAAGAGAGAGCUCCAUUUUGUUACAUUUUUCUUGAAAUGCAGCUCCCAGUAGGGGUGGAUAAUGCAGAGAUUGAAGAACGUAUCAUUCAGCACUUGGCUGCUGCUGCUGCUAUGGGCCGAGCAAGACAUGGUGCAAGAAGAGAAGGUCACAGAAGCAGGUCAUCAACUCAAGGUCAUCCACAGCUCAGGGUGUUCUCUCCGCAUUCCAAUGCUUCUCCACCUCAUCCUCCAAUGCCUUCCUCUCCAUCCCAAAGAGAUGAGAGUGAAACAAUCACAAACCUUCCUAUCUCUCAUCAAAAUACUUUAGGGGAGGGAUCUCUUCAUUCAAACAUGCAGCCACCAACUUCUUCUCAACCCCGCCAGGUUUCUCCUUCAAACAGCAGGUCUCCUAAUCAGCAU